rnacentral:rRNA from 1 species
UACGUAGGGUGCAAGCGUUAUCCGGAAUUAUUGGGCGUAAAGAGCUCGUAGGCGGUUUGUCGCGUCUGCUGUGAAAACUGGAGGCUCAACCUCCAGCCUGCAGUGGGUACGGGCAGACUAGAGUGCGGUAGGGGAGAUUGGAAUUCCUGGUGUAGCGGUGAAAUGCGCAGAUAUCAGGAGGAACACCGGUGGCGAAGGCGGAUCUCUGGGCCGUAACUGACGCUGAGGAGCGAAAGCAUGGGGAGCGAACAGG